rnacentral:rRNA from 1 species
CCAAAACGAGGCACGGCGCACAGCUCAGUAACACGUGGCUAACCUGCCCUUAGGACGAGAAUAACCCCCGGGAAACUGGGGCUAAUGCUCGAUAGGUGAAGAACUCUGGAAUGAGUCUUCACUUAAAAGAGUCUGCGUUAUGCUCGUAGAUUUCGCUUAAGGAUGGGGCCGCGACCGAUCAGGUUGUUGGUGAGGUAAUGGCUCACCAAGCCUUUUACCGGUGCGGGCCGUGAGAGCGGGAGCCCGGAGAUGGGCACUGAGACAAGGGCCCAGGCCCUACGGGGCGCAGCAGUCGCGAAAACUUUGCAAUACACGAAAGUGUGACAGGGCUAUCCCGAGUGCCAUCCGCUGAGGAAGGCUUUUACCCAGUCUAGAAAGCUGGGGGAAUAAGGAGAGGGCAAGUCUGGUGUCAGCCGCCGCGGUAAUACCAGCUCUCCGAGUGGUGUGGAUGUUUAUUGGGCCUAAAGCAUCCGUAGCUGGCUAAGUUAGUCCCCUGUUAAAUCCAACGAAUUAAUCGUUGGAUCGCGGGGGAUACUGCUUGGCUAGGGGACGAGAGAGGCAGACGGUAUUUCCGGGGUAGGGGUGAAAUCCUAUAAUCCCGGGAAGACCACCAGUGGCGAAGGCUGUCUGCUAGAACGCGCCCGACGGUGAGGGAUGAAAGCUGGGGGAGCGAACCGGAUUAGAUACCCGGGUAGUCCCAGCUGUAAACGAUGCAGGCUAGGUGUUUGGACGGCCACGUGCCGUUCUAGUGCCGCAGGGAAGCUGUUAAGCCUGCCGCCUGGGGAGUACGAUCGCAAGAUUGAAACUUAAAGGAAUUGGCGGGGGAGCACCACAAGGGGUGAAGCUUGCGGUUUAAUUGGAGUCAACGCCGGG